rnacentral:sRNA from 1 species
GUGCUUUUACGGUUCCGGGUGCUGGUUCCCACACCACUACCUCGUGUGGGGUUGUUCGCCCGUGAAGGGGCAGGACAGGGUGCUCGCUGAUGGAGUUUUCCAGGCGCAAACUGAUGGUUUUGGAGCAUUAAGGUCUGGUCGGAUGGGGCAGGAUGGCUGCGUUGACACGUCUUAUUUAAUCCACAUCAUAGGUCUCCAGGUCCGCCCCCUGCCUGUAACCCCCAGCGCCGCCCCUCUGGAAGCCUGGGAGGACUGUGUGUUGCGAACUGGGGCGGCUACUCUCGGCCGCCGCGAAGGUCCGCGUCUUGUUCGCAGGGAAGGUUUACUCCCCCAUCGUGGGUGACACCAAGGGGCUGAGGGCUCGGCCGGUUUCGCUUUGCUGGGGGCAAGACACGCUCUCUCUCCCCACCCUUCCGGGUUCCCUCAGACAGUCUCGGCCUUGAGGAACCCCCUUCGCCUCCGGUCCCCCAGCCGACCUUCCUCCGCUCCCCACGCCCUCCCCGGAGAACCCCACUGUCACUCGCGAUGCUCCGAAGACCCGGGAACUGGGCGAGGAAGGCGGC